CGGCGAGUGAGCGGCAAAGCUCAAUUUGAAAUCUAGCACCUUCGGUGUUUGAGUUGUAAUUUGAAGAUGGUAACCUUGGGUUUGGCUCUUGUCUAUGUUCCUUGGAACAGGACGUCAUAGAGGGUGAGAAUCCCGUCUGAUGAGAUGCCCAUUCCUAUGUAAGGUGCUAUCGAAGAGUCGAGUUGUUUGGGAAUGCAGCUCUAAGUGGGUGGUAAAUUCCAUCUAAAGCUAAAUAUUGGCGAGAGACCGAUAGCGAACAAGUACAGUGAUGGAAAGAUGAAAAGAACUUUGAAAAGAGAGUGAAAAAGUACGUGAAAUUGUUGAAAGGGAAGGGCAUUAGAUCAGACUUGGUGUUUUACGAUUAUCUUCUCUUCUUGAGUUGUGCACUCGUAUUUCACUGGGCCAGCAUCGAUUCGGAUGGCAAGAUAAUGGCAGUUGAAUGUGGCUUCACUUCGGUGGAGUGUUAUAGCUUCUGCUGAUAUUGCCUGUCUGGAUCGAGGGCUGCGUCUUUUGACUAGGAUGCUGGCGUAAUGAUCUAAUGCCGCCCG
rnacentral:rRNA from 1 species